rnacentral:rRNA from 1 species
GACGAACGCUGGCGGCGUGCCUAAUACAUGCAAGUUGAGCGAUGAAGAUUGGUGCUUGCACCAAUUUGAAGAGCAGCGAACGGGUGAGUAACGCGUGGGGAAUCUGCCUUUGAGCGGGGGACAACAUUUGGAAACGAAUGCUAAUACCGCAUAACAACUUUAAACAUAAGUUUUAAGUUUGAAAGAUGCAAUUGCAUCACUCAAAGAUGAUCCCGCGUUGUAUUAGCUAGUUGGGGAGGUAAAGGCUCACCAAGGCGAUGAUACAUAGCCGACCUGAGAGGGUGAUCGGCCACAUUGGGACUGAGACACGGCCCAAACUCCUACGGGAGGCAGCAGUAGGGAAUCUUCGGCAAUGGACGAAAGUCUGACCGAGCAACGCCGCGUGAGUGAAGAAGGUUUUCGGAUCGUAAAACUCUGUUGGUAGAGAAGAACGUUGGUGAGAGUGGAAAGCUCAUCAAGUGACGGUAACUACCCAGAAAGGGACGGCUAACUACGUG